rnacentral:rRNA from 1 species
UACGUAGGGUGCAAGCGUUGCUCGGAAUUACUGGGCGUAAAGGGCGCGUAGGCGGGAUGGCAAGUCGGUCGUGAAAUCCCUCGGCUCAACCGAGGAACGUCGAUCGAUACUGCUGUUCUUGAGGAUUGCAGAGGAGACUGGAAUUCCCGGUGUAGCGGUGAAAUGUGUAGAGAUCGGGAGGAACACCGGUGGCGAAGGCGGGUCUCUGGGCAAUUCCUGACGCUGAGGCGCGAAAGCGUGGGGAGCAAACGGG